UGAACAUUACACACUGGCUGACAGACAUAAGAACUAUCACUCCUUACGGUUAUUUACUCUAGCAUGUUAUUUAUACACGGAUGUAACUUCUCACAUUACAGGGAACCUUUACUCUAUCCACAGGUGGAAAGGCGCCAGGAUGGUUGUGACUAAGCUGCACUAUUGUCUUAAUUCCUUCGUCACUAUUUGCGCGCCAUGUGGUUCAGAGCAGCGUUGAAAGGGUAUAUAUAGAUGGUAGCAAUUUACUGGAACAAACGCAAUUUUAAACUGAAGCUGAAACAAGUAGCGGGGGUAAUUCUGAUUUUAGCAGCAUGACCUCAGACCACUCAACCUGCUUUGGGUAUUGUACUAUGCUGUAAUACAAUUCUCUAUCACGUGACAUAAUGUAAUAGGAUGAUACUAUUAUUUAGAAAUGUGUUCAAGCCAGCCUGUGACUCAUAGUUGGAUUAGCUAUUUAGCUACAGAAGCUAAGUUAAUAUCGUUAUAUUAUGAUGGGUUCAGAGAUGUUUGAAAGCGAGACCGAGAAAAGGGGGGAUUUGGCUGUUUUAACUGUACUAUGUAUAUGGGGCAUCAUACCCCUGUCUCAGAUGAUAUAAGCACUUGUCACACGUGAGACCCCUGUGCUGAGUUGAUGAAUUCCGACAUGAGUGAUAAUCUAACACCGCAUUCAGAUUUAGUCAUGGUGACUUGCAACUCACUCCCGGUCAUCUGGGUCAUUCUCCGAGUCCUAUAGAGAUGGUUUGACCUCCUCUAGCGCUAGAUACCAUGUUGCUACCUCAUAUACAAUUCCAUUAAUUCAUAAUGUGUUUGUCUGCCUGCCUGUCUGAACCAUACGUUUCUACGUGACCCUGUCGUCUGGGCACCUGGAAGAGCGCUCCCGGACAGGUCAGAAUGCUAUUAAAAGUAGGUGGAGUGUCACCCAUGCCUGUCCCAGGCCGAGCUGCUGAGUCACUGCAGGUGGCAGGUACAGAGAGGGGUGGUCUGCAUCCCCAAGAGCGUUACUCCUUCCAGGAUCCUGCAGAAUCUGCAGGUCAGGAGGACAGCGCCAUCUAGUGGAAGGAAUACCAAUUGAACUGCAUGAUGUUUUACCAGUUUGGAAACUACUCACCUCUUCCCCAAAAUGUGUUUGACUUCUGUCGGAUGAAGACCUGGAGCAGAUCGAGUCGUUCAACAGAAACGAGAGGUACAUCAUCCUGGCUGUGGAGAGGGACAGAGAGUGGAGGGACGCAGACCACCCUCAUUUCCCGACCUGAUCUAGAGUCAGCUCUACUGGCCCCACAUCUAGAGACAGCUCUUUAGCACUUUGAGAUAUCAGCUGAUCUAAGGGCUAUAUAAAUACAUUUGAUUUGCUGACCCACACAUAAAAUUUUAUUUAUACAGAUUACCUGGAUCUGAGUCACUAGAGAUUUGAAUAUUUGAUCAGACAAGAACCAUCUGUAAUGCAGCUCAUGUUCCCUUAGUAAGAAUCCACAUACAUCUUAAUUCAUUAUUAGUGGGAAAAUAUAUUUGUUUCUAAUCCUUAAUUUUGUUAUACUCCAACUGAUCCAGUGUUCCGAUGUGUGGAUAUCUAAUCUGUGAGAUUGUUGGACAAUAAAUGAUAGA